AGAAUGAACCCAUCAACGCUGUCAUCUUGCUACCGCCGGAAGUGUUGAGAAUCCCUGAGCACACAGGGAUAGGGGGUUUAGUUGACUACUCAAUGAAGGUUCAGACAUCACAAACGGCUUACACAAACAAGUUUAAUGUAUCCAGGACUGGGAACGUGGCACUGAUUGGAAGCCUGGAUUACGAAAACUCAGUUUCCAUAUCAGUUUAUAAUCAUUGCCACUGAUGGAGGAGGCCCUGACCAGCGAGGCCCAGCUGUUUGUGACUAUAACAGAUGUCCAGGACAGACCACCAUACUUUACUGGAGAACCUUACUUACCUGAUAUCUGGGAGGACCAUGCUGUGAACAGCAACGUCGUGACCAUCUCGGCACUUGACGGAGACAGAGGCAACCCUUAACAACAUCACC